rnacentral:lncRNA from 1 species
AACAGAUGAGGGAGCCAUUUUUCUGCAAUGGAAUUAAAUGGCCAAGUGGGUUUUUCCUUUGUUGCAAAUGGGGAAUGCUUUUCCUUUGACUCCACCAUCCAGUUCAGGACGCCUGAAUGUGUUUAACAUUUGCCAAAGGACUCACACUUGGAAGAAUGAAGAAGACCUUUUAAAAAGAUCUGGAUUUUUCCUUAUGACUUGGAAUCCAUCUUUGUCUUGUAUAACUAGGUCAUAGCACACUAUUAAUGUCAGCAGUUAACAGUUUUGAAUUCAAAAAAACCUAAAGCACUAAACAGCCCUCAGCGAAGCCGCCUUUAUGCCAGCCAAACCCUGGAAAGUUUGCAGUCGUGGAAGGAGCAGAAAUACCACGAGUGUAACUUACAAAGAAGGUCUUGGCUGGAGACCGGAGCCAU